UUGAAAAAAUGCAAAAUGCGUUUUGCGUCAUUUGAAGCUUCUAUGAAAUAUCAUGAAUCUCAUAUCCCACUGUCAUUCUUUGAUGAUUCCAAACUAUACCACGUUUCUAAUUUCUGUGUGAUAUCAUUCCCUUUCCUCGAUUUCGCUGUAGACGCUUUAAACCCUCAAACCAGGGUUUAAACAUUCCAUUUUAGCACACUAUCUCCAGCUUCCGCGGCGGCGGAACAUGGCCGAAUGGAUUUGCAGGACGCUGCGAGACGGCGGCUUAGAAGGGGAGCAUGCCCCCGCUCUCACCAUCAACGACACAAUCACCUGCUCCUUAGGUUCCUUUGUCUUCGAUCACAUCCUCUCUCAGCUUUCCUCCUUCAUUCACUCCCAAAAAUCUCAAUCAAGUGGCAUUGUGUUGGUUGCAUUUUCGCGGAGUCCUUUGUACUAUGAACAAUUGCUGAAGAGCAAAGGAUACAACGUCUCUGCAAGUACAUGGUUUAAGGUUUUGGACUGUUAUACGGAUCCUUUGGGUUGGAAGAGCAAGCUCGCGAAUAGUGGGAUAAUUGCCAACGACUCUCUUGGAUCUUCCGUGACAGCUAAAUUGUGUAAAAAUGUUAAGGACUUGGAUGAGGUAUUGUCAUUGGUUCUUCAUCAAGGAAAAGAAUUGUCGGUAGAUGGGAAAGGAAGGUUCAUGGUUGCCAUAGAUUCGGUUAGUGAGAUGCUAAGACAUGCAUCAGUUUCGUCAGUUGCAUCACUCUUAAGCGAACUUAGGAGUCAUGGCCAAGUUUCUAGCUUAUUCUGGUUAAUACAUUCGGAUCUUCAUGAGACCCGGGCUACUGCUGCUCUUGAGUAUAUAUCGUCUAUGAAGGCUACUGUAAUAGUUCAACCAAUGGAUGGACUGAGGGGAAAUUCUGCGUGCCUCUCCUUGAUGGAAAAUAACUUGAAAAGAGGAAAAUUCAAUGUGCACGUUAAACGUCGAAAUGGGCGUGUUAAAACUAUGGUUGAAGAGCUCUAUGUUGAGAAUUCAACCAUCAAUUUUGCACCCUUUUCUACGGAAGGCGAAGUAAUUUCUCAAAGCCUUGUGCCUAAGGUCCAGUUCAAUUUACAGUUGUCUGAAAAGGAGCAAAAUGACCGAGCAAAAGUGAUCCUUCCAUUUGAGCACCAAGGCGAUGGCAAAAACAUUCAAAUAUAUGAUGGUAGGAAAUCUCUCAAUGAGAGCAAAGGUGACAGUGAACAAACUUGUUUAGAGAAGGAAGAUUCUGGCAGGGGGGAGAUAAUCUAUUUUCGUGAUUCAGACGACGAGAUGCCUGAUUCAGAUGAGGACCCUGAUGAUGAUUUGGAUAUAUAAUUCAGAUUAGGAUAACUAGAGCCUUAAAUUCCUGAUUUGGAUAUAUAAUUCAGAUUAGGAUAAACUAGAGCCUUAAAUUGUGUGUUUUCUUCUUAUGGUGAUAUUUGAAAUCAUAUACGCUGGUUGCAGAUGCUGUAUUAGUCAAUCCACUUUUGGCAUUGAAUAAUACUCCUAUAUGAACAAGUUUUGGGUUAUCAAUUUAAGAAGUACGUAUGAUUUGAAGUAGGUACUAUCCUAUGUGAACUUACGACAGGGCAAAGUUGAAGACUUUCUUUGGGGAUACAAGAUUCUGACACUUUUGCCAUGAAGGAUCUGUCUCUCACUAAAGUCAGUAUAAAUUGCCAUUGACUUUUCCCAUACUCCAAUCUUGCCUUUGAUGAUUUUGCUGAAGUGUAGAGUGAAAAUGAAAGAGUGGUGGGGUUAUGAUUAUUGGAGAUAUGUGUGGAUGAAUUUCCUUCCAAUCUGAUUUCAUUUUAAAAUUACACAUGCCGUGGCGUUGAUUUAGCUUGUUGAACAUUUCCUUACAUCCUCACCAUCGCCAGCUCUGGAUACCAGUUGAUACGACUCAAAUUUGAAUGUAGAGAAUUGAAAGGAAAUUGUAUUGAUAUGAACGAAUAGUAACCGGUACAAGAGAAGAAUAUAUACACUCAGUCAACAAAAAUUA